CCCUUAGAGUUUGAUCCUGGCUCAGAAUCAACGCUGGCGGCGUGCCUAACACAUGCAAGUCGAACGCGAAAGGGGCUUCGGCCCUGAGUAGAGUGGCGAACGGGUGAGUAACACGUGGGUGAUCUACCUUCGAGUGGGGGAUAACGUCCCGAAAGGGACGCUAAUACCGCAUGACGUUCUGGGUUUGAAGACCCGGAAACCAAAGCUGGGGACCGCAAGGCCUGGCGCUAGAAGAGGAGCCCGCGCCUGAUUAGCUAGUUGGCGGGGUAAUGGCCCACCAAGGCAACGAUCAGUAGCCGGCCUGAGAGGGCGGACGGCCACACUGGGACUGAGACACGGCCCAGACUCCUACGGGAGGCAGCAGUGGGGAAUUGUUCGCAAUGGGCGCAAGCCUGACGACGCAACGCCGCGUGGAGGAUGAAGGCCUUCGGGUCGUAAACUCCUGUUGAUCGGGAAGAACGGGCUUUGGGUGAAUAGCCCGAGGCACUGACGGUACCGAUUGAGGAAGCCACGGCUAACUCUGUGCCAGCAGCCGCGGUAAUACAGAGGUGGCAAGCGUUGUUCGGAAUUACUGGGCGUAAAGGGCGCGUAGGUGGCCUUCUUAGUCAGACGUGAAAUCCCCAGGCUUAACCUGGGAACUGCGUCUGAUACUGGAAGGCUUGAGUUCGGGAGAGGAAUGUGGAAUUCCAGGUGUAGCGGUGAAAUGCGUAGAUAUCUGGAGGAACACCGGUGGCGAAGCGGCAUUCUGGACCGAAACUGACGCUGAGCGCGAAGCCAGGGGAGC
rnacentral:rRNA from 1 species